rnacentral:sRNA from 1 species
UUUUUUUUCUAAUGCCCUUUUCAUGAUGCCCUUUUUCAACUUUACCCUUUUGUUUUAUCCAAUUUUAUUUCUACCCUCUUUAAAUUUUUAAUGACCAUUUUACCCUUAUUUGGAAAUUGUUUUAGGUUAACAAAAUGAAAAAUUAAUAUUUUUUCGCCAAAAAUAUUCCAAAAUAAAUUUCCCGCCAAAAUUUGUUUUCAAACAUAUUUUUCCCGCCAAUUUUUUUUUUUUGGCGGGAAAUAGAUUUACAAGGGAUUUUAAAAGAGUUUUAAAAGAUUUACAAGGGAUUUUAUAGGGGUUUUAUAAGAUUUACAAGGGAUUUUAAAAGGGUAAUUUACAAUAGAUUUUAAAGGGAUUUCAAAAAUUUACAAAAGUCUUUUAAAGAUUUUUAAAGGCUUUAAAAUUGUUUUAAAA